rnacentral:ncRNA from 2 species
UUAAUAUCAAUGUUUUAAGGUGCUUCUAAAUGAAGAGAAUAGGGAAAAAGGUUUAAAACCUUUACAGCCACCGCUACUGUGAGUAGGGAUGAAAUCUAGUGAACACUGGCGUAUUGCUGGGAAGUUUAGAGAGUAAGUUAAUCUAUUAGUCAGGAGACCUGCCUUAAAAUAAUUAACAAC